rnacentral:lncRNA from 1 species
CUCCUCCAGCCUCGCCGCGGCCGGCUCGGGAGUCCGGACGGACGUCGAGCCUGCCCGCUUCUCGUCUGCAACAGUUUUCACCGUGGGUGGGCGAAGAAGUCAAAAAAUAAUUGUAUCUCUGGCUCAGCGUGGUCCGGAACGUAAAAAUACACUCGGCACACUCAAAAGGUGACCUAAUGGGAGGGAGGCGUUUGCUCUGCAGGAUGGACAACCGCGUGCGCGUGGACCGCGUGCAGCCGGCCGGCUCCGAGGAGGCGACCGUGGUCUUCACUUCCUGGGAGCGCACGAUGCAGGACACGGUCAAAGUAAUAACGCUGGCUACAAAACGGUCUUUUUCCUUCGUUUCUUCCAACACCAGGACGCAGCAGUGCGUUUCUGUUCCACCCAGCCCCCCUCUGUCCUCGCCCAGGGCCGCCCGUGACCUCCGGCGGACAGUAGGUGGCAGCGUUGAGGAGAAAAUGCGGGCCUCCCGGUUAACUAGGUCUGGAGUCCUGAAAUCACUACAGGGGGACUGGAAAAGGCGCCUAGAACUGAAAGCCAGAGAAUGAUUUUCCUUGAAAGCAAAAGGAUUCCAAGUAAGAACCUAAAAUUCAGUGGUAACCUAAAAUAUCUUAUCUUUGGUAUUUAUCGUUUGUGGGAUUCUGAAAGCAUAUUUCACUGACCUUUGUUUUCUAGCUGAUGAAUGAAAAGUGUCUACUUCUGUGGUUGUUACAAUGGUAGGAUGCAGUGAGCAAUCGUGCAUGUCUGCAGCCCUGAAGGCACUCAGAAAGCAUUUGUGGGCUUAUAAUCCUCUAGUUAUCUUGGUAAGUGGGUUAACAAUGUAUGGGGAGGGAAACUUUGGUUUUCCCAUUGCUUCACAGGUUUCCAUUCAGGCCUUUGGCCCUCACAUGUCUGGGCCUGUGGCAAGAAAGAGCGUCACUGCAGUAUAGCACAGUGGAGCUGCCCACUUCAGGUUCCCAAGGAGCAGAGACAGGAAACCUCAGGCAGGCUGGAGUCCCUUUCACACGCCAGGUGGGGGGAGGAAGGUAAGCCAGGAGCACUGCUCCUGUCAUGUGGCCUAACACAGGGCCUCCUUCAGCUUUCUGCUGUGCUCUCCUCCAGUAGGUGCACAGCCUGUUCCCAUGGUGACAUCCCAAACUUGCACAUCCUAUCUGACUUUUCUGGAGUCCUCGGUCAGAAUUUCAGCUCUGAUCUAUCCAGUUCUGAUUCAUGAGCACCAAACUAAGAGACAUGACACUCAGUGUACCAAGCAGUUAGUAAGCCACUGCCAUGGUUUAUGUCAGAUGGACUCCCCCAGGUCUCAUGCAAUCAUAGAUGUGGCUGAAUCUAGCAUUUGUGAUUGGUUCGUUGUCUAGUACUCCUAUUGGUGGUGUGAGUGCUAUACCUGCCCAGGGUGGAGGCAGCAUGCAGUGUAAGAGCAGAAAGAAGGUGUGGCUGCCCUCUCUCUUGCCCAGAUUGUAUUUGUUGUUUGCAGCCUGCAUGAACGGCUGUCCCCUUGCCAUACCACUUUGCCACUUGGAGUUAACUGAGUAUAGACUGAAAUCUCCAAAAAUUAUAAGAUAAAUAAACCUUUCCUUCCUUUUUGGGCAUCAGGUAUUUUGUCCCAGCAAUGAGAGGAAAGUAACCAAGACAGUUUAGUACCAGAUGAUUGGGGUUAUUGCUGUGACUUUACCUGACCACAUAGUUCAAGAGCCUUUGGAAACAGCUUGUAGGAAGAGUUUGGAAAGGUUUGAAGAUGUCACCUGAAGGCAUAGAGCUGGAACACCUUAGGCUGUUCUGUAGGGGAGAUUCUGAUCAGAGCUCACGAGACCAAAAGGUUGAUAGAAAG